rnacentral:lncRNA from 1 species
GAAUGGUGGGCGGGUUGGCGUGCCAGGUCCGAGACUGGGCCUCAAGGGGCCAUGGGGGCUGGGAUGCUCUGUCAGAGCCCUGUCCUGCCCUCAUGUAAACGAGGCUAGCCUGCUGGAUGAUGAGAGCCAUGGGAAACUGACAUGAACCACCCCCUGUGAGCACCUGCCAGCUGACCCGCCUCUGACUGAGGUCCCCAAGUGGGCCCAGCCAAGAGGAGCGGCCCCGCUGAGCCCGGGUCCUAACGUUCUCAGACUAUUUAGUUUACGGAAUCGGUCGGUGUAUACUUUUCCAGAAAAUUCAUUUUGCCCCUCUGAUGACCUUAAUGCUCACCCCUGCCACACAAUGGGGUUGCGCCCUAUUUGAAGACACGUAGGGUGACAGUCUUGGUGUGGCUGGGACUUUCCUGCUGUGGGCACCGAGAGUCCCACAUCCUGGGAAACCCUUCCGCCUCGUAGAGAGGGGGACCGUGGGUCGCCCCCCACACGAUCACCCACCGGCUUCUGACCGGGGCGGGCCUUGCGGUUGUGUGUUUCAUAGACGGUGAACCUGAGAUCCAGCAAGUCUGAAAUGGCCUCUUGGAUCGCCCAGCUGGAAGGCAGCCGGGAGAGGAGCUGAAUCAACGCAGCCCGAUGCUCAUACCUGAGCCUGUUCUCCCGCACCUGCUGUGUCGGGGGUGGUGAUGCCAGCCCCUUAUGACUGGGCCGUGGACGUGAGGGCCUCCGCCCCAGACACACUCGGGCAGCCCUUCUUCGCUUGGGUCCUUUUCCAAACACAGUCUUCGAGGUCUGACACCAGGAGAGAAGAACUCGCAGCUUGUUUUGUGGCUCGCUGCACGGAGAGAGGGCCACUCGGGCCACUGCCAGCCCGGACCCCGCGCUCUGAGGCCACAAUCGCCGCCACCUCAGCUCCGGAAACGGCAACACAGAUGAGAAAGAACCCGCAGAAUCCAGAAGACGACGAGAAUCCCAAGCUGCCGAAAAUUUCCUCCCGUGAUGAGACGCAUUCAGAACAAAAACGUGCAGCCUGAUUUGUCUUUCCCUGAAAUCAAAGGCACUGUUCUAAAGAGACUGCGUUUGCCACACAAAGGUAGCAGAUGUUUGUCGAGAUUUAGCCACACAAGCAUUCGCUCGUUCAGUCUUGGGAGCGUUUCGGUUUUUGAAAAGAGGAACAGUUUUGUGUCAUUCCGCGAUGCUCGGAAGCUUCUGGAACUGGCGCUCAGGUGGGGUGUGGACCAGGGUGGGUUUGCUCCGGAAGGCUCUGCAGGGUGGAAUGGGGCAGGACGAGUCAUACCAUCAAGCGCUCACUGAGCGCCCAGUGUCUACCCAGAUGCAGGUGCAAGGACCUGAGGGCGCCAUGACCUUAAUUCUUGCCCGCAAAGAGUUUCCAAGACUUCCUAGACUCACGGGUGUAGAAAGCCGGUUCUAGAGCUGCCCUUGCUUUUAACUUCCCCCAACAGAUUUCCCUUCCCUCCUUCCGUCCUCUCCCAGAUUUCUCUCCAUCCCUCAUUCCUGGGAGGUAACCAGUCACAGAGACCUGCAUGUUCUAUGCCCCCAAAUGGAAUUCAAAAGCCAUCCUUGUUCCCAUUUGCAAUGCAGAUUCAGUCCCUUCUCCUCACUCCCAUCCACAGGAAACACCCUGGGCACACCUCCCACGCUGUGUCCCAACGAUCUGUUCACUGGUCACACCCGGAACUGCUGGAGAUUAGGUUCACCUUGACUUUCUCAGUAGCCAGCACAGGGCCUGGCAACUUCCUGGGGCUCAUCAGUAGUGGAUGAGGAAGUAAGAGUAAAUAAUGGCAAAGUCCUUCACCUCCUCCCGCCAUGGCCUUCACACCCCUCUGUCUCUGUUCACACAGUCCUCUUUCUUUCUUUCUUUCUUUCUUUCUUUCUUUCUUUCUUUCUUUCUUUCUUUCUUUAAAAUUUAACAUGCCAACUCCUAUUCAUCCUUCAACACCCAGUGCCCAUGUUGCCUCCUUCAGGAAGUCGACCUGACACCUUCAGCCUGUGAGGCUUACUCAUUUCUCCCUCUGUGCUUCUACAGCGCCUUGUGCUUGUGCCCAUCGGAAUAAAUACUUUAAUGACGAUUGUCUCUGAUUCCUU